GAUGAACGCUGGCGGCGUGCUUAACACAUGCAAGUCGAACGGGAAACCUUUUAUUGAAGCUUCGGCAGAUUUAGCUGGUUUCUAGUGGCGGACGGGUGAGUAACGCGUGGGUAACCUGCCUUAUACAGGGGGAUAACAACCAGAAAUGGUUGCUAAUACCGCAUAAGCGCACAGGACCGCAUGGUCCGGUGUGAAAAACUCCGGUGGUAUAAGAUGGACCCGCGUUGGAUUAGCUAGUUGGCAGGGUAACGGCCUACCAAGGCGACGAUCCAUAGCCGGCCUGAGAGGGUGAACGGCAACAUUGGGACUGAGACACGGCCCAGACUCCUACGGGAGGCAGCAGUGGGGAAUAUUGCACAAUGGGGGAAACCCUGAUGCAGCGACGCCGCGUGAAGGAAGAAGUAUCUCGGUAUGUAAACUUCUAUCAGCAGGGAAGAUAGUGACGGUACCUGACUAAGAAGCCCCGGCUAACUACGUG
rnacentral:rRNA from 1 species